ensembl:lncRNA
UUCCUCGCCAGCUGCUGCCAAUCAUCCACCAUCGUUGGCAGAGCUAUUUAAUGGUGUGGCUGAGUGACAGACAGCCCUGGAGUAUUCCACCAAGCCUGGUAGUGACUCAAGCUCAGAGAAUGUAAGAUAGCGAAGGAAGUCUAAUCGCGUCUGUUUGCCUUUUUUGCACUAAACGAACGAGACGGAGAGACGGGAGGAGAGAUGUCACUAUUCACAAGAGUUGUGUGGACAUACGAGGGGAGCACUGAAGGGACUUUGCACUGUGGAUAACUGUGGAGUGGCUUCACUCUAAAUAAAGACACUGUUCAACUUUAACGAGAGGUCCGCGUCUGGGUUCACUAACUCACCACCCUUAACAGGAGGACUUGUAAGAAUGAAUGAUGCUGCGAAGCAUGAAAAUGCCAUUGGGUCUGCAGUGGUGGUUUACAGUCACGUCACAUGACAGCGUAACACCUAAACACAAGAGGGGGGAGGAGGAGCAAAGUCUGCCUGCUUUUCGCUGACACGGAAGCAGCGAAUCCGGCGACCUGGCUGUUUCGUCUUUGCCGAAUGCACAGCAUUGCAAACAAGAGCAGUGGCGCUAUCACUUGGUGUUCGCUCGCUCUCUGGUGAAGAGCCUGAGGCCGGUGACACUCCAGUUCUACUCUAAGUACAUCCUUACAGUGGCUCACAGGACAAGGCGACAUUCCUGUCCUGCCAGAAGAGAAACUUCAGAGUCUUCAUGAAGUUCAACCACACCUGUCAUAUUCCAUAUGACAGAGGUCUCAAACUCCAUUCCUCGAAGGUCGGUGUCAUGCAACUUUUCCAUGCCCUCGAGGACUGGAGUUUGAGACCCCUGCUGUAUGGUGUUCAUGCAGUUUUCUACCCCACAGUUACAGCAUGUCUGACUGCCUGUUCAGCAUAUGCAAAAAUAUAUGAUGAGUUUAAGCAUGUGAUGACUAAGGCCUUCCAUUAUGGUGUUUGUCAUCACAUGUCACAGACAUCUGGAUGAUCAUUUGGAAUAAACAAAAAAACAAAAAACUUGUUACUUCAUCUUUUAUCUUUAUUAUUAUUAUUGUUCUUAUUUUACAUUUUUCAUUGUUAGGCAUUGGGUUUAUUUGUAGUGGUCCUUUCCAGCUUCUUUCCCUCUUCCAUGUUACUGUGUCAGCUUGUCAGCAUCUAUUUGGGGUUGGGAGUGGAACAGGAAGUAAGGAACAAAGUGCCAUUUAAACCAGGAGAGGUUCUUAUAUUUCAGAAGAAGGGAUUAAUUCAAAAGAAAUGACCUCAAUGCCAUAUUUUAUUUAGGAACCCUAGAGAGCACUUUGCAAAAUAACACAUUCUUAUAAUUUCACCCUCAGAUGAGCCAAGCUAUGACUGUCAGGGAAGGUGAUGUAGGUACAGAGCGUGUGAGAGUGGUUAAGUUAAUGUCUCUUGUCUAGAUGAAGGCACAGGAGGGAUCAAUGGCACGGCGUAGAGAUUCAGUAUCUUCAGUCUUCAGUGGACACUCCAUUUCUGGCACAAAACACCUGUAAAAGAUGGUCGAUUUAGGAGGUGACCCGACAACUUCAGCCUGUCAAACAUAGCAAUGGAGCAGUAUGUUUAAAAAAAAAAAAAAAUUAAUUAAGCAUGCACUCAGUACCCUAAGAAUUAUUAUGAUAGUUAAACACAGUGAUAGUCACAUAUCAUAUCACUUCAAACGGAGGUGAUCCAGUAAUGCUGCACUAAUGAAUUAGAC